rnacentral:rRNA from 1 species
GUCCACGCCCUAAACGAUGUCGACUGGUUGUUGGGGUUUGACACUCUCAGUAACGAAGCUAACGCGUGAAGUCGACCGCCUGGGGAGUACGGCCGCAAGGUUAAAACUCAAAGGAAUUGACGGGGACCCGCACAAGCGGUGGAUUAUGUGGAUUAAUUCGAUGCAACGCGAAAAACCUUACAUACCAUUGACAUGUCCGAGAGCCCGCAGAGAUGUGGGUGUGCCCGAAAGGGAAUCGGAACACAGGUGCUGCAUGGCUGUCGU